AAGGAACUUGAGAACAAGGUU
rnacentral:miRNA from 1 species